rnacentral:misc_RNA from 1 species
GUGAGUCAUCGAAUCUUUGAACGCACAUUGCGCCCGCCAGUAUUCUGGCGGGCAUGCCUGUUCGAGCGUCAUUUCAACCCUCAAGCCCCAGCGGCUUGGUGUUGGGGACCGGCGAGUGGUGGGGGGGGAUUUCUCUCCCCAACCGCGCCGCCCCCGAAAUGAAUUGGCGGUCUCGUCGCGGCCUCCUCUGCGUAGUAGCACAACCUCGCAACAGGAGCGCGGCGCGGCCACUGCCGUAAAACGCCCAACUUUUUCUCAAGAGUUGACCUCGAAUCAGGUAGGAAUACCCGCUGAACUUAAGCAUAUCAAUAAGCGGAGGA